GGCCUAACACAUGCAAGUCGAGCGGUAGCACAGGGAGCUUGCUCCUGGGUGACGAGCGGCGGACGGGUGAGUAAUGUCUGGGAAACUGCCUGAUGGAGGGGGAUAACUACUGGAAACGGUAGCUAAUACCGCAUAACGUCUUCGGACCAAAGAGGGGGACCUUCGGGCCUCUUGCCAUCAGAUGUGCCCAGAUGGGAUUAGCUAGUAGGUGAGGUAAUGGCUCACCUAGGCGACGAUCCCUAGCUGGUCUGAGAGGAUGACCAGCCACACUGGAACUGAGACACGGUCCAGACUCCUACGGGAGGCAGCAGUGGGGAAUAUUGCACAAUGGGCGCAAGCCUGAUGCAGCCAUGCCGCGUGUAUGAAGAAGGCCUUCGGGUUGUAAAGUACUUUCAGCGAGGAGGAAGGCAUUGUGGUUAAUAACCGCAGUGAUUGACGUUACUCGCAGAA
rnacentral:rRNA from 1 species